UACGAAGGGGGCUAGCGUUGCUCGGAAUCACUGGGCGUAAAGGGCGCGUAGGCGGAUCUUUAAGUCGGGGGUGAAAGCCCAGGGCUCAACCCUGGAAUGGCCUUCGAUACUGGAGAUCUUGAGACCGGAAGAGGUAAGUGGAACUGCGAGUGUAGAGGUGAAAUUCGUAGAUAUUCGCAAGAACACCAGUGGCGAAGGCGGCUUACUGGUCCGGUUCUGACGCUGAGGCGCGAAAGCGUGGGGAGCGAACAGG
rnacentral:rRNA from 1 species